GACGAACGCUGGCGGCGUGCUUAACACAUGCAAGUCGAACGGAAAGGCCCUGCUUUUGUGGGGUGCUCGAGUGGCGAAGGGGAGAGUAACACGAGAGUAACCUGACCUUGACUUUGGGAUAACUUCAGGAAACUGGGGCUAAUACAGGAUAGGAGCUCCUGCUGCAUGGGGGGGGUUGGAAAGUUUCGGCGGUUGGGGCUGGACUCUGGGCUUAUGCGCCUGUUGGGUGGGUAGGGGCUGACAAAGGCUUUGACGGGUAGCCGGCCUGAGAGGGUGACCGGCCACAUUGGGACUGCGACACGGCGCAGACGCCUACGGGAGUCAGCAGUGGGGAAUAUUGCACAAUGGCCGGAAGCCUGAUGCAGCAACGCCGCUUGCGGGAUGACGGCCUUCGGGUUGUAAACCGCUUUCGCCUGUGAUGUAGCUUGAUUGACGGUAAUUGGUAAAGAAGCACCGGCUAACUACGUG
rnacentral:rRNA from 1 species